GCCUGGGUGGCUCAGUCGGUUGAGUGUCUGACUUCAGCUCAGGUCAUGAUAGCACAGCUCGUGAGUUUGAGCCCCACAUCAGGCU
rnacentral:tRNA from 1 species